rnacentral:rRNA from 1 species
AUUGAACGCUGGCGGCAGGCCUAACACAUGCAAGUCGAGCGGAGCGGCAGACGGGUGAGUACUGCCUAGGAAUUUGCCUGGUAGUGGGGGACACCGUCCGGAAACGGGCGCUUAUACCGCAUCCUAUCAGAUGAGCCUAGGUCGGAUUGGCUAGUUGGUGGGGUAAUGGGCUACCAAGGCUACGAUCCGUAACUGGUCUGAGUGGAUGAUCAGUCACACAGGAACUGGGACACGGUCCAGACUCCUACGGGAGGCAGCAGUGGGGAAUGUUGGACAAUGGGCGAAAGCCUGAUCCAGCCAUGCCGCGUGUUUGAAGAAGGUCUUCGGAUUGUAAAGCACUGUAGGUUGGGAGGCGUUACCAACAGAAUAAGCACCGGCUAACUUCGUGCCAGCAGCCGCGGUAAUUC